rnacentral:rRNA from 1 species
AUUGAACGCUGGCGGCAGGCCUAACACAUGCAAGUCGAGCGAGCGGCGGACGGGUGAGUAAUGUAUGGGGAUCUGCCCGAUAGCGGGGGAUAACUACUAGAAAGAGUGGCUGAUACCGCAUACUAUUGAGGCGGCCGAUAUCGGAUUAGCUAGUUGGUGGGGUAAAGGCUCACAAAGGCAACGAUCCGUCGCUGGUUUGAGAGGACGACCAGCCACACUGGGACGGAGAAACGGCCCAGACUCCUACGGGAGGCAGCAGUGGGGAAUUUUGGACAAUGGGGGAAACCCUGAUCCAGCAAUCCCGCGUGUAUGAGAAGGCCUUCGGGUUGUAAAGUACUUUUGGCAGAGAAGCGGUAUCUGCAGAAUAAGCACCGGCUAACUACGUGCCAGCAGCCGCGGUAAUAC